rnacentral:rRNA from 1 species
UACGUAGGGGGCGAGCGUUGUCCGGAUUUAUUGGGCGUAAAGAGCUCGUAGGCGGUUUGGUAAGUUGGAUGUGAAAGCCUUGAGCUCAACUCAAGAAAUGCAUUCAGGACUGGAUGGCUAGAGGACCGGAGAGGAUAGUGGAAUUCCCAGUGUAGUGGUGAAAUACGUAGAGAUUGGGAAGAACACCAGUGGCGAAGGCAGGUCUCUGGGCCAUAACUGACGCUGAGAAGCGAAAGCAUGGGGAGCGAACAGG